ensembl:lncRNA
GGCUGAUACUGGGCUCUCUGAAGAAUGUCAGACAUCUUGGACCAUCCUCUGAUGAUUCAUCUGACCCCUCAAUGUUGUGUCAACUCUGGACAACUUUGCUGAGCAGUGAGGCAGAGAUGGACUUCACCAGCUUACUUAGUCUCUGUGGAAAUGAGUUGCACCUUCCAGUCCAGGGUGAAAGACAAGUGUUUGAGAGAGCAGAAGAAGUGAUGACACAGAGUCUAGAGAGGGUUAAUGUCUGUCUACACUGGGAUCAGAGAACUGUUCUCAGUGAAGCUCUCAGCAAAACCAUUUUAAAGUGUUUACCAAAUAUCAACAAACUCAGGUGAGUAUCAUCCAGCAACAUAUCGGUCAGCGAUCAGUAUCAUCCAGCACCAUAUCGGUCAGCGAUCAGUAUCAUCCAGCACCAUAUCGGUCAGUGAUCAGUAUCAUCCAGCACCAUAUCGGUCAGCGAUCAGUAUCAUCCAGCACCAUAUCGGUCAGUGAUCAGUAUCAUCCAGCAACAUAUCGGUCAGCGAUCAGUAUCAUCCAGCAGCAUGUGUCUGUUUCUGUUGUUAUAGUGUAGUAUGUCGAUUUUGAAAAGGCUUUUAAAGUAUGACUACAAUAGAUAUAUAAAUGCCUGGACUUGUAUCGCUCGUCGGAAGAAGUGGACCAAGGUGCAGCGUGUCACACCCUGACCAUAGUUUGCUUUGUAUGUUUCUAUGUUUUGUUUUGUCAGGGUGUGAUCUGAGUGGGCAUUCUAUGUUGUGUGUCUAGUUUGUCUGUUUCUGUGUUUGGCCUGAUAUGGUUCUCAAUCAGAGGCAGGUGUUAGUCAUUGUCUCUGAUUGGGAACCAUAUUUAGGUAGCCUGUUUGGUGUUGGGUUUUGUGGGUGAUUGUUCCUGUCUCUGUGUUUGUUGCACCAGAUAGGGCUGUUUUGGUUUUUCACGUUUAUUGUUUUUGUAUAUUGUUCGUAUUUUCAUCUUUAUUAAAGAUGUUUAUGAAUCACCACGCUGCGUUUUGGUCCGCCUCUCCUUCCCAGGAGGAACCGCGUGACAGAAUCACCCACCACAACAGGACCAAGCGGCGUGGUAACGGGCAACAGCAACAGCGAUGUCAGGAUUUCGGGACAUGGGAGCAGAAUCUGGACUACACAACUUGGGAAGAGAUAGACAGGUGGGCGGUCGACCCAGGGAGAGUGCCGGAGCCCGCCUGGGAUUCGAUGGAGCAGUGCGUGGAAGGUUACAGGAGAACGAGGUUGGCGAAGUGAACACGGCGGGCAAGGAAGCCCGAGAGGCAGCCGCAAAAAUGUCUUGGUGGGUGGCACACAGGAAGCAUGGCGAAGCCAGGUAGGAGACCUGAGCCAACUUCCUGUGCUUACCGGGGGAGAGAGACCGGGCAGGCACUGUGUUAUGCUGUGGAGCGCACGGUGUCCCCAGUGCGGGUGCAUAGCCCGGUGCGGUACAUACCAGCUCCUCGUAUCGGCCGGGCUAGAGUAAGCAUCGAGCCAAGUGCCAUGAAGCCAUGAAGCCGGCUCUACGCAUCUGGUCUCCAGUGCAUCUCCUUGGGCCGGCUUACAUGGCACCAGCCUUGCGCACGGUGUCCCCGGUUCGCCUGCAUAGCCCAGUGCGGGCUAUUCCACCUCGCCGCACUGGCAGGGCGACCGGGAGCAUUCAACCAGGUAAGGUUGGGCAGGCUCGGUGCUCAAGAGCUCCAGUGCGCCUGCACGGUCCGGUCUAUCCGGUGCCACCUCCACGCAUCAGCCCUCCGGUGGCAGCUCCCCUCACUCGCCCUGAGGUGCAUGUCCUCGGCCCAGUACCACCAGUGCCGGCACCACGCAUCAGGCCUAUAGUGCGUCCCGCCGGUCCAGCGCUGCCAGAGCCUUCCUCCUCUCCAGCGCUGCUGGAGUCUCCAGUCUGCCCAGCGCCGCCUGAGCUACCCGUCUGCCCAGCACCGCCUGAGCUACCAGUCUGCCCAGCGCCGCCUGGGCUACCAGUCUGCGCAGCGCCGCCUGAGCUACCCGUCUGCCCAGCGCCAUCAGAGUCUCCCGUCUGUCCUGAGCCUCCAGUGCCGCCAGUCUGCAAGGAGCCGCCAGUGCCGCCAGUCUGCAAGGAGCCGCCAGUGCCGCCAGUCUGCAAGGAGCCGCCAGUGCCGCCAGUCUGCAAGGAGCCUCCAGUGCCGCCAGUCUGCAAGGAGCCGCCAGUUCCGCCAGUCUGCCAGGAGCCGCCAGUGCCGCCAGUCUGCCAGGAGCCGUCAGUGCCGCCAGUCUGCCUGGAGCCGCCAGUCAGCCAGGAUCUGCCAGAGUUGUCAGUCUGUCCCGAGCUGCCCCUCUGUCCCGAGCUGCCCCUCUGUCCCGAGCUGCCCCACCUUGGGGGGGGGGGUGUACUGUCACACCCUGACCAUAGUUUGCUUUGUAUGUUUCUAUGUUUUGGUCAGGGUGUGAUCUGAGUGGGCAUUCUAUGUUUCGGUUUUUUCACGUUUAUUGUUUUUGUAUAUUGUUCGUAUUUUCAUCUUUAUUAAAGAUGUUUAUGAAUCACCAUGCUGCAUUUUCCCAGGAAGAACCGCGUAACACUGCAUGUUCAUGAUCUUUAUUUCUCAGAACACUAAAACAACAAACAAAAUGUCACGUUCCGUAGACAGAACAAAAAACAACAUCCCACAACCUAAGGUGGCAAAACAUGCUGCCUAAGUAUGAUUCCCAAUCAGAGACAACGGUAGACAGCUGUCCCUGAUUGAGAACACACUUCACUGCCCACAUGAACAAAUACUUUCACUUUACUAUAGAAUACUACAAGAAAGUAUCCAAAACACUACAGUAAAGUCUGCAGUCUAGUAUACUAGUAUUUUUUAUAAAGAAGACAACACAACAAGAGACACACAUGACAACAGUGUUCUGUCUGUAAAAGAGGCCGCAGUCACAUUCUCCCUGCUUCUGAACAUAGACAUUCUUGUGUUUUAUGGGUCACAGGUUUACUCCUCUACAACAUC